rnacentral:rRNA from 1 species
AGAGUUUGAUCCUGGCUCAGGACGAACGCUGGCGGCGUGCCUAAUACAUGCAAGUCGAGCGAAUCAAAGGGAGCUUGCUCCCUGAGGUUAGCGGCGGACGGGUGAGUAACACGUGGGCCACCUGCCUAUAAUACUGGCAUAACUUCGGGAAACCGGACCUAAGACUGGAUAAUUCAUAUCUACUCAUGUAGGUGUGCUGAAGGACGGUUUAGGCUGUGACUUAUAGAUGAGCCCGCGGCGCAUUACCUAGUUGGUGAGGUAACGGCUCACCAAGGCAACGAUGCGUAGCCCACCUGAUAGGGUGAUCGGCCCCACUGGGACUGAUACACGGGCCAGACUCCUACAGGAGGGAGCAAUGGGGAAUCUUCCGAAGUGGACGAAAGUCUGACGGAACAACGGCCCGUGAGUGAUGAAGGUUUUCUGAUCGGAAAAAUCUGUUGUUAGGGAAGAACGAGUACUACACUAACUGCUACUACCUUGACGGUACCUAACCACAUAGCCACGGAUAACUACGUGCCUUCACCCGCGGUAAUACGUACGUGGCAAGCGUGGUCCGGAAUUAUUGGGCGUUCCUCGCGCGCCUGCGGUACUUUAAGUCUGAUGUGAAAGCUCGCGGCUCAACCGUGGAUGCUCAUUGGAAACUGUAGUACUUGAGUGCGUAAAAGUAGAGUGGAAUCCCACGUGUAGCGGUGAAAUGCUGACAGAUGUGUAGGAACACCAGUGCGCGAACGCGACUCUUUGAUCUGUUACUGACCCUUAGGCGCGCAAGCGUGAGGAGAUGACAAGGAUGAGAUAGGCUG